rnacentral:misc_RNA from 1 species
UAACCCCCUCGCUCCCCUCCCUGUUUGUCUACAAACAAGGGAGUCGGCCCAAUGCUUUGCCAUUGGGCUUGGGAGCGGAUGUGGCUUUCCCAGGCUCCGUGCGUGGGUUGGCUGAAAAGCAGAGGCUAGAGCAAGGACCCGUUAUGGGCUCAACUGGAUAGGUAGAUCUGGCGCUUCACGGCGCCUCCUACACGAAGUUGGUGCCUGUGGCCCUUUGCUGGCGGCCUGCAGGAAACGUGCGUGGGAUGGGUUGGUGGCCUACCGGCUCCCACCCCCUUCGCCGUCACUC